AUACGAAGGGGGCUAGCGUUGCUCGGAAUCGACUGGGCGUAAAGGGUGCGUAGGCGGGUUCUUUAAGUCAGGGGUGAAAUCCUGGAGCUCAACUCCAGAACUGCCUUUGAUACUGAGGAUCUUGAGUUCGGGAGAGGUGAGUGGAACUGCGAGUGUAGAGGUGAAAUUCGUAGAUAUUCGCAAGAACACCAGUGGCGAAGGCGGCUCACUGGCCCGAUACUGACGCUGAGGCACGAAAGCGUGGGGAGC
rnacentral:rRNA from 1 species